rnacentral:lncRNA from 1 species
CUUGGAAGAAGUGCAUCCUACUAGAUGUUUAUAUGAACCUAAGCGUCAUAACCCACAGAAGUGGAGCACAUGGUUAAUAAACUGGAAUACGGAAUCAGUUUUAAAAGACUUGAAUUAUUUUCCUUUCAUUAUAGUUUAUAAAAUAUAUUCAAUUUAAGGUGUCAUUUUUAUGUGUUUCCAUAACUUGUGCCAUUACAGACGUUUAUUUGAAAAUACAAUUGUGACUGUUUUUACAUACCAUUGGAUUUCUUGAUGUUAAUUUUAGGACAUUUAUAUGAAGGCAACACUUCUUUACUGAUUCCUGUUAUGUUCUGGGCUUGUGUGUUAGGUGAUGUUCGCUUGGCCCUGAAAUCAGUCUGGAAUUUCUUCUGCUAUGAAUUGCCUGGAGAAGUCUUGCUAUUGGAAUACUAGUAUCUAUUCUCCCUACUUAUAAAAUAACCAACCUUCCACUUACGAAACUGACAYUUUGUUGUCAAACUAUGGCUUGGUAGUGCUGCUGCCUGAAUUAAAGGAAUGUGGUGGAUGGAAGUGUUAGUAAAAAGAUUACUCAGGAGUGAGUUCUUGGUAGGAAUAGUUAUCUGAAGUAAAGAUGUUAUUGCACUGAGAAAAAGAUACAUGCAGAACACCCACUGUAAGUAGCUGUAAGUAAAUUCUUUCAAUUCAUCUUUAGGAGUUUUAUUAGAAAUUGAUGCAAUACUUUCAGAAUUGGGGCGUAAACAUAACUAAAAUAUUUUUGCAGUUGCAUGGGUUGCAGAGAUACAUGAAAUAAAUCUGUACAGAACCUUAUGGAAUGAGACUACGAAAAGCUGCAAGCCACGAGCUAAUGCAUAGGCUUUGUCUUUUGCAUUUAUCUCUGCUGCAACUUGUAAUCCUUUCAGAGCACAAGAAUGCUGAAGUAGAAUUGGAAGAGGAAAUUCAGUCUGUUCUUCAUGAAGCUCUCCAUUCCCAGUCUGGAGGGAGACAUGAAGAUGUAGAUGAAAGCAUAAAUGACCAGUGGCAAGUGAAGGAAGAAAUACAUGAAGAAGCUUUUGGAACUCCUACAGCAGAUGACUUACAUGGAGAAUCAGAGAAUGAAAUGCCAGAAGCAUAUGAGUUGCCAGAUUCAAUUCAGAAAGAAACUGAUGUUUUAGCAGAUGAUCUUGGAGCAAUGGAGCCUGAAACGUAUGAAGUUCCAGUUUCAUUUGAUUAUGAUAUGGGUGUGGAAAACACAGUAAGUGAGCCAGAAGCUCCAGGUGAUACUGAGCUAAUGCGAGAAGAUGCUAUUGAACAUCAUACAGAGGACAGAGUGCAUGGGGAUUACAAUGAAGAACACGAACCAAAACAGGAAGAGGAGACUGGGAGCCAAGAUACAGCUGUCGAGGACGUUCCUGAGGAGAUAAAUGAAGUCACAGAGCCGGAUGAAGUUAUUGAAGAUUUGGAAAUUGAUGAAAAGCUGUCAGUAGAAAGUAAACAUACCGAAGAUAAAGUGGCGACUGAGCCUGAGGAAUCAGAAAUGCCUGUUCAAGUUGAGGAUUAUUCAGAUGAUAAUCUAGUGGAUACUUAAAGCUUCAAAAGAAAAGUCCUACAUCAGGAGGACCGGCCCUAACCAUACGCUACAAAAGGGGAGCAGAUGGUUGUAAUAGACCUCACGAUGUAAUUACUGAGCAGUUCAGGGUUUGGGGAGUGAACACUAAAAUAUUGUAAAUGGGUUAUAGCCAACUGUCAUUUUAGUACGCUUUUUUUAACAUUUGGAUGUUUAAUUUACAUUCCUGUCUGAUUUUUUCUUGUCAAGUUCAGUGAAUUCAUUAGUUUCAUUUUUCUUCUGUGUUUGUGACAGGCUUGUGAGUUUGAUCUGCAUUUUAUAUGUGCUGUUCAAGCAAUUUGUUAAUAUUCUAUUUAUAAUGUAGCAGCAAGCACAUUUUUUCAGAUUUUAAUAUAUAUCUUUUGUUGUGGAUUCAUACAGUAUGUAUAGAGCAGUUUGGUCAAAUGAAGCGCAUAAUAUUAUGAAUUUUUACGUGUUUUAUAACUGCUGAUAUAGCAUACAGCCUAAAUGCAUUUUAUUGGAAACAGUAAUCAGACACACACCGAGCUGUGAAGUUUGACCUAUAUCUCUUUGCACUGAUGUUAUGUCAUCAGUUACACUACAUCAAUUUCAGGUCAUUUAAAAUAGUCUAACAAUUUACAAAAUGCGUAUGUUUAAUUCGUAGCAGUAAAAUGGCAGAUUACUAAAUUACUUUUUUCAGAAACCUUUUAUGUAUGAAUUACAGCAUUUUAUUUAUGCACAUUUGAUUUUAAAGCAAAAAGAAGUCUUGAAACUACAUAAUGGUCUGACAGGGAGUCAGUGAAGAUUGAAACAUAGCUGAGUAGCUAGUAUCAAGUUGAGUUUAGUAAAAUUCUUCUAUUUUGCCCACAAAUAUAAUGGUACCACAGCUGGAUUCAGGAAGCUGGAUUCAGUGAACUCUUGACAAAGUUAAAUUUGCAUAAAUACUGGGCUUGUAAAUAAAAAAAAAAAAAUCAGCUUUGGAACUUUAACC